CCUACGGGAGGCAGCAGUGAGGAAUAUUGGUCAAUGGGCGGGAGCCUGAACCAGCCAAGCCGCGUGAGGGAAGAAGGUCCAGCGUAUCGUAAACCUCUUUUGUCAGGGAACAAAGGCGGGGACUAGUUCCCGGAUGAGGGUACCUUAAGAAAAAGCAUUGGCUAACUCCGUGCCAGCAGCAGCGGUAAUACGGAGGAUGCGGGUGUUAUCCGGAUUUAUUGGGUGUAAAGGGUGCGCAGGCGGCCUGUUAAGUCAGCGGUAAAAGCCCGGGGCGCAACCGGGGCGAGCGGUUGAGACUGGCGGGCUGGAGUUGGAGAGAGGUACGCGGAAUGCGCGGUGUAGCGGUGAAAUGCUUAGAUAUCGCGCAGAACCCCGAUUGCGAAGGCAGCGUACCGGCUCCACACUGACGCUGAGGCACGAAAGCGUGGGUAUCGAACAGGAUUAGAUACCCCAGUAGUC
rnacentral:rRNA from 1 species